rnacentral:rRNA from 1 species
CAGCAGCCACGGUAAUACGUAGGUGGCGAGCGUUGUCCGGAAUCAUUGGGCGUAAUGGGAGCGCAGGCGGGCAUGUAAGUCUUUCUUAAAAGUUCGGGGCUCAACCCCGUGAUGGGAAAGAAACUACAUGUCUUGAGUACAGGAGAGGAAAGCGGAAUUCCCAGUGUAGCGGUGAAAUGCGUAGAUAUUGGGAGGAACACCAGUGGCGAAGGCGGCUUUCUGGACUGCAACUGACGCUGAGGCUCGAAAGCCAGGGGAGCGAACGGGAUUAGAUACCCCAGUAGUCCCUGUCUCUUAUACA